CCUACGGGAGGCAGCAGUAGGGAAUCUUUCAUAAUGGGCGAAAGCCUGAUGGAGCAACGCCGCGUGCAGGAUGAAGGCCUUCGGGUUGUAAACUGCUUUUAUAAGCGAGAAAUAUGAUGGUAACUUAUGAAUAAGGAUCGGCUAACUACGUGCCAGCAGCCGCGGUCAUACGUAGGAUCCGAGCAUUAUCCGGAGUGACUGGGUGUAAAGAGUUGCGUAGGUGGCAUAAUAAGUAGCUAGUGAAAUCUGGUGGCUCAACCAUUCAGACUAUUAGCUAAACUGUUAAGCUCGAGACCGUUAGGGGUAACUGGAAUUUCUAGUGUAGGAGUGAAAUCCGUAGAUAUUAGAAGGAACACCAAUAGCGUAGGCAGGUUGCUGGGACGGUUCUGACACUAAGGCACGAAAGCGUAGGGAGCAAACGGGAUUAGAUACCCCAGUAGUC
rnacentral:rRNA from 1 species